rnacentral:tRNA from 1 species
GGGCCUGUGGCUCAAUCGGUAGGGCGCCAGCCCCAGAUACUGAGGGUGGCCGGUUCAAAUCCGGCCCGGCCAA